ensembl:miRNA dno-mir-181b-1 dno-mir-181b-1
AACAUUCAUUGCUGUCGGUGGGUUGAACUGUGUGGACAAGCUCACUGAACAAUGAAUGCAAC